ACGAGAAGCAGGAGCAAUCCUGUGAGUAAAGUGGCGUACGGGUGAGUAACACGUGGAUUAUCUACCUUCUAGUGGGGGAUAACCCUGGGAAACCGGGGCUAAUACCGCAUAAGUUCGAGAGAAGAAAGCAGCAAUGCGCUGGAAGAGGAGUCCGCGGCCGAUUAGCUAGUUGGUAGGGUAAAAGCCUACCAAGGCUACGAUCGGUAGCCGGCCUGAGAGGGCACACGGCCACACUGGCACUGAAACACGGGCCAGACUCCUACGGGAGGCAGCAGUGGGGAAUCUUGCACAAUGGGGGCAACCCUGAUGCAGCGACGCCGCGUGAGCGAUGAAGCCCUUCGGGGUGUAAAGCUCUUUCGGCAGGGACGAUUAUGACGGUACCUGCAGAAGCAGCUGCGGCUAACUACGUGCCAGCAGCCGCGGUAAUACGUAGGCAGCAAGCGUUGUUCGGAGUUACUGGGCGUAAAGGGUGUGUAGGCGGUCCUCUAAGUUUGGUGUGAAAUCUCCCGGCUCAACUGGGAGGGUGCGCUGAAAACUGGGGGGCUAGAGUGCGGGAUGGGAGAGUGGAAUUCCUGGUGUAGCGGUGAGAUGCGUAGAUAUCAGGAGGAACACCUGUGGUGUAGACGGCUCUCUGGACCGCAACUGACGCUGAGACACGAAAGCGUGGGUAGCAAACAGGAUUAGAUACCCUGGUAGUCCACGCCCUAAACGAUGC
rnacentral:rRNA from 1 species